GCCACGGCAACAAAGUGAGACUCUGUCUCAAAAGAAAGAUGAUAAAUGUAGUUUCUAAAUAUCAUAUUAUUAUAAGAAUAUCAUGUUUGUUGAUUGCUAACAACUGGUUUUGUACUGAAACUUUAUUAACUAUCAUGGUGAAAAUUUACUCUGUCCUCUGCUAUUUUAUUUUUUCUUUUCCUUUUAAAACACCCAAAAGGCACUAUAACCCUCUGUUAUUUAUUAACGCACAUAUGUUGAGGUGAGGACAUUUCUAAGCCCCCAAAUUGCUGACUUUGCAAUGUUUUAGUGUCUGUUUGUUUUUUCUUUUAUGUUGCAGUGGUGCGAAUAAAGAGCCGAAUAACUUAUGUACUACUCUACAUGUGAUAGGACAAAACUAAGAAAAUUUUAAUAGGCUGGAAAAGAUGUCAUCAUGUGGAGAAUGAUGUGCCAUUAUUUAGUAUAACACAGAGAAAGAAAAAGAUACCAACACUGCCAAUUAAGUAGACAUACCAUCACAUAUAAGAUGAACUUCAACUUCAGAGAUAUCAAAAUGUGAAAAAUAUGUCCUUCUUAAAAGUUAUGAGGUGUUAAGAUUUGGGUUUUAGACCCUCUUCUGGCUCACUAAAACCUGGAUUCAGGAAGAAAGAGAAGCACCAGAUAUAGACAGUUCACAAAUUGG
rnacentral:lncRNA from 1 species